UGUAGUGCGAUGUGGGGACGGAGAAGGUUAACUCAGCCGGGUGUUGGAUGUCCCGGUUCAAGCUUGUAGUCGUGGUCCUUAGGAAAAUCCGGGGAUCUUAGAUGAGGAGUGAUAACGAGGAGGCUUGCCUCCGAAGUGAGUGAUACCCUGCUUCCAGGAAAAGCCACUAAGCUUCAGCUGCACACGACCGUACCGCAAACCGACACUGGUGCGCGAGAUGAGUAUUCUAAGGCGCUUGAGAGAACUCUGGAGAAGGAACUCGGCAAAUUGACACCGUAACUUCGGAAGAAGGUGUGCCUUUAGUAGGUGAAGUCGUACAGACGGAGCCCAAUGAGGCCGCAGAGAAUCGGUGGCUGCGACUGUUUAUUAAAAACACAGCACUCUGCAAAGACGAAAGUCGACGUAUAGGGUGUGACGCCUGCCCGGUGCUGGAAGAUUAAAUGAUGGGGUGCAAGCUCUUGAUUGAAGUCCCAGUAAACGGCGGCCGUAACUAUAACGGUCCUAAGGUAGCGAAAUUCCUUGUCGGGUAAGUUCCGAUCUGCACGAAUGGCGUAACGAUGGCCACGCUGUCUCCUCCAGAGACUCAGCGAAGUUGAAAUGUUUGUGAUGAUGCAAUCUCCCCGCGGAAAGACGGAAAGACCCCAUGAACCUUUACUGUAGCUUCACAUUGGACUUUGAACAGAUCUGUGUAGGAUAGGUGGGAGGCUUUGAAGCGGUGCCGCUAGGUGUCGUGGAGCCAACCUUGAAAUACCACCCUGGUGUGUUUGGGGUUCUAACCUUGACCCGUUAUCCGGGUUGGGGACAGUGUGUGGUGGGCAGUUUGACUGGGGCGGUCUCCUCCCAAAGUGUAACGGAGGAGUUCGAAGGUACGCUAGGCACGGUCGGAAAUCGUGCUGAUAGUGCAUUGGCAUAAGCGUGCUUGACUGCGAGACGGACAUGUCGAGCAGGUACGAAAGUAGGACAAAGUGAUCCGGUGGUUCUGUAUGGAAGGGCCAUCGCUCAACGGAUAAAAGGUACUCUGGGGAUAACAGGCUGAUACCGCCCAAGAGUUCAUAUCGACGGCGGUGUUUGGCACCUCGAUGUCGGCUCAUCUCAUCCUGGGGCUGUAGCCGGUCCCAAGGGUAUGGCUGUUCGCCAUUUAAAGAGGUACGUGAGCUGGGUUUAAAACGUCGUGAGACAGUUUGGUCCCUAUCUUCCGUGGGCGCUGCAAGAUUGAGAGAGCCUGCUCCUAGUACGAGAGGACCGGAGUGGACGCACCUCUGGUGCAUCGGUUGUCACGCCAGUGGCAUAGCCGAGUAGCUAAGUGCGGAAGAGAUAACCGCUGAAAGCAUCUAAGCGGGAAACUCGUCUCAAGAUGAGUCUUGCCGGGGCCUUGAGCCCCCUGAAGAGUCGUUCGAGACCAGGACGUUGAUAGGCCGGGUGUGGAAGCGCGGUAACGCGUUAAGCUGACCGGUACUAAUUGCUCGUGAGGCUUGACCCU
rnacentral:rRNA from 1 species